AGGGCUUUCAGUCUGACAUCUACCCUUCCCUCCCAGCACCAGGAGGGGUGCCCCAGGGGCUGGACCUCGAAGCUCACUUCAGGAAACCCAACACCCUCAACCCGACCUCGCUCCUUCUGUUCCAGCCGCCAUCCAGGGUUGAGCACCGCCAUUGCAGGAUGACGGGAAGGCCCCGGGACUGGACCUCGUAGGCCCCUCGCCCUACCUGCCGACCCAGAGCACCUGCGGCUACAGUGGGCGUGUCCCCGAGAGGCGGACCACUUCUAGCAGGGAGGCUGGCAGA
rnacentral:lncRNA from 1 species